rfam:Oryza brachyantha chromosome 2, whole genome shotgun sequence.
AAUAAGAUCGUUUUUCGUUUUUCCGUAUCCAACGUUUGAUCAUUCGUCUUAUUUGAAAAAGUUGUAUAAAAACUUAAAAUAAUUAGUCACGGAUAAAGUAUUAUUCAUGUUUUAUCAUCUAGUAACAACAAAAAUAUUAAUCGUAAUUUUUUUUCAAAUAAAACGAAUGGUCAAAUGUUGGAUACGGAAAAACGAAAAAUGAUCUUAUU